rnacentral:rRNA from 1 species
AGAGUUUGAUCCUGGCUCAGAAUCAACGCUGGCGGUGUGCCUAACACAUGCAAGUCGAGCGAGAAAAGGUAGCAAUAUCUUAGUAAAGCGGCGCACGGGUGAGUAACACGUGGAUAACCUGCCUCGAAGCGGGGAAUAACACCGGGAAACCGGUGCUAAUACCGCAUAUCCUGCCGAAAUCUGUGGAUUUUGUCAGUAAAGGAGCAAUUCGCUUUGAGAGGGGUCCGCGGCUGAUUAGCUAGUUGGUGAGGUAAUGGCUCACCAAGGCCACGAUCAGUAGCCGGUCUGAGAGGACGGUCGGCCACACUGGAACUGAGACACGGUCCAGACUCCUACGGGAGGCAGCAGUGGGGAAUUUUUCGCAAUGGGGGCAACCCUGACGAAGCAACGCCGCGUGGGUGAUGAAGUAUCUCGGUACGUAAAACCCUUUCGACGGGGACGAAACCGCAAGGUUGACGGUACCCGUAGAAGAAGCCCCGGCUAACUCCGUGCCAGCAGCCGCGGUAAUACGGGGGGGGCAAGCGUUGUUCGGAAUUACUGGGCGUAAAGCGCACGUAGGCGGAUAUUUAAGUCAGGGGUGAAAUCCCAGAGCUCAACUCUGGAACUGCCUUUGAUACUGGGUAUCUUGAGUAUGGAAGAGGUAAGUGGAAUUCCGAGUGUAGAGGUGAAAUUCGUAGAUAUUCGGAGGAACACCAGUGGCGAAAGCGGCUUACUGGUCCAUUACUGACGCUGAGUGCGAAAGCGUGGGGAGCAAACAGGAUUAGAUACCCUGGUAGUCC